rnacentral:misc_RNA from 1 species
UCCUGCGUUGGUUGCCUAAUGUGACGGAAAUUGACCCCAAAUGAGUCUGAAUUUUUGCCUCUCACCAAUUUGCGGUGUUAGGUUGACGUGGAAGUACUGCCCAUUGUCCUUGAAUGCUUCGCCCUUUCGCGUUGCAAUCCUGGCCCAUGGGUUGCUACUAGUUUCCUCGGAUGCAGAACCUUUGAAGGGUGUACAGCAUAUUUCUAUUGCUUACCCACAAAGCGUUCAUGGCUCGAUGUGUACGACGGCCGUGCCCGCCUCUGUCCCAUCUUUACCCCGUAUGGAUGGGGCCCAUGCGGUGCCGGCGUCACGAAGGAAUGCUACCUGGUUGAUCCUGCCAGUAGUCAUAUGCUUGUCUCAA